rnacentral:lncRNA from 1 species
CUCAGAGGCAGAGACAGACACAGCUUUUCUUCAUUCACGAGGGGAGGGGACUUUCUCUGUCACAGGAUACAGAUUCUGUGGGUGUUUUGAAUCACUGGUAGCUCAGCACCCAAGCUCCUUGGGAGCAGUGACUGCAGAAGUGGGAGUCGUGUUCCUUCCGCUGAAUCUUCUCAUCAAUGGAAAGGGGCCUGGGCCACAAGAGACAAGAAACCCAACAGGAAGAACCCACUGGAUGUGGGAGAGAGAACAAACCACAGGAGGGAUUCUGCGACCCUCGAGGAAACAGAGGAGUGACAGGCACAACAGCGAGACGAUAACCAAGUGUUCCUGCGGAGUUUGCCAGCAGGCGCUGGCACUGGGCCGGGAGCUCCAGCCCUCAGUCUGUUCACCAACCUGCUCCUCUUCCUCCUCCAAGCCGCCCCGGAAGCCAUUUCCUCUGGGAAGUGUUCCCAGGUGAGCAAAGCUCCCGUGGGUCGGGCCCUGUCUGAACCCAGCCUUCCCAUGGCCUCCACCCCACGCUGCGGUCCCUCCUGGCUUCCCUCCCACCUCACCUGCUCUCCGUCACUCGGCACCGACUUGAGUUAUUUUGGAGGGAGGGGGCACUGGGACUGAACUCAGGACCUGCACUUGUGAGGCACAGGCGGUGCCACUCAGCUAAAGCCCCGGUUCCACACAGAUUUGACUUCGAUGCCUGCUCGCCUCCUGAUGCAUGUGAACAUGAGCGUGCCCCGUCCCUGCUACUCACAUCUGUGUCACUCACCUGAGGCGCUGUAACGCGGCGGUCUCGUUAUCCGAAGGCGGAUUUGCUCGCCGCGUCCUUUAGUUCCUCCAAAAGGAGAAGACUGUCCGUCCACCCCUUGGCUUCAAAUCCUGUGUCCGUAUCCCGCGUCCCUUCAGCUUCAGCUCCUUUGACCAAUCCCGGCUUUGCGGAAUCCCUUUACCUGUGAAGGACAAUUCUUUGAUUCUUUUUUUCUUUCUUUCUUAAAUCCCAACUGCUAGGUAGACACACAAGUCCUUUUUUCUUUCUUGAACUUUCUGUUGACCCUGACCUUUUACCGUCUUAUGAUAGCAUUGUUUAAGAAGGGCCCAGAACACAAGAAUUUGAACAGCACAGCAAAGCCCUUGCUCUCCUGGGCUCCGGGUCAGCAUAUUUAUCUCUGGUUAUUCCCAAUUCUCUGUCUUUUUUUUUGGUAGCAGGGAUCGAACUCAGGUCCUUGUGCUUGCGAGGCAGGCGGCAGAACCACUGAGCUAGAUGCCCAGCCCCUCCAACACUCUGCCUUAGUGCGUCAUCGUCCUGCGGUUGUAAAGAUCACCUGGCAGGAUCUGGUGAGGAGGGGUAGGAGGGUCUCUGCUCCUACACAGAACCGCCAAGACUUCUAAAACUUUAACCUGCCUCCUUCUGCUCCCUACUGGGUAAGUAAGUUAAUAACCGACAUGUUUGUUGUCCUCUGACCGG